rnacentral:misc_RNA from 1 species
GAUGAAGAACGUAUCGAAAUGCGAUAAGUAAUGUGAAUUGCAGAAUUCAGUGAAUCAUCGAAUCUUUGAACGCACCUUGCGCUCCUUGGUAUUCCGAGGAGCAUGCCUGUUUGAGUGUCAUGAAAUUCUCAACCUUUUCAGCUUUCUUUGUUGAUCAGGCUUGGAUGUGGGAGUAUGCGGGCUUCUCAGAAGUCGGCUCUCCUGAAAUGCAUUAGCGGGACCUUUGUUGCCUGGCUUUGGUGUGAUAAUUAUCUACGCCAUUGUAGUCAAGCAGCUUAAAAUGAGGUUUCAGCUUCUAACCGUCUCCCCUGAGACAACUUUUUGACAAUUUGACCUCAAAUCAGGUAGGACUACCCGCUGAACUUAAGCAUAUCAAUAAGCGGAGGA